GCGGGUGUAGUACAAUGGUAGUAUGCAAGCUUCCCAAGCUUGAAACGUGGGUUCGAUUCCCAUCACCCGCUCAA
rnacentral:tRNA from 1 species